UCUGUGCACCUGCCAGCCGGCUCCCUCUACUGAGUAUCUGAGGAAACAGCAUUUAACGAGGAAGACCAGGGCCCCUGGAAUCACACAGG
ensembl:snoRNA